AACGCGAAGAACCUUACCUGGGUUUGACAUGCACAGGACGUGCCUAGAGAUAGGUAUUCCCUUGUGGCCUGUGUGCAGGUGGUGCAUGGCUGUCGUCAGCUCGUGUCGUGAGAUGUUGGGUUAAGUCCCGCAACGAGCGCAACCCUUAUCUUAUGUUGCCAGCGCGUAAUGGCGGGGACUCGUGAGAGACUGCCGGGGUCAACUCGGAGGAAGGUGGGGAUGACGUCAAGUCAUCAUGCCCCUUAUGUCCAGGGCUUCACACAUGCUACAAUGGCCGGUACAAAGGGCUGCGAUGCCGUGAGGUGGAGCGAAUCCUUUCAAAGCCGGUCUCAGUUCGGAUCGGGGUCUGCAACUCGACCCCGUGAAGUCGGAGUCGCUAGUAAUCGCAGAUCAGCAACGCUGCGGUGAAUACGUUCCCGGGCCUUGUACACACCG
rnacentral:rRNA from 1 species